AGCGAACGCUGGCGGUAGGCCUAACACAUGCAAGUCGAACGGCAGCACAGGAGAGCUUGCUCUCUGGGUGGCGAGUGGCGGACGGGUGAGGAAUACAUCGGAAUCUACCUUGUCGUGGGGGAUAACGUAGGGAAACUUACGCUAAUACCGCAUACGACCUUCGGGUGAAAGUGGGGGACCGCAAGGCCUCACGCGAUUAGAUGAGCCGAUGUCGGAUUAGCUAGUUGGCGGGGUAAAAGCCCACCAAGGCGACGAUCCGUAGCUGGUCUGAGAGGAUGAUCAGCCAAACUGGAACUGAGACACGGUCCAGACUCCUACGGGAGGCAGCAGUGGGGAAUAUUGGACAAUGGGCGCAAGCCUGAUCCAGCCAUACCGCGUGGGUGAAGAAGGCCUUCGGGUUGUAAAGCCCUUUUGUUGGGAAAGAAAUCUUGCCGGUUAAUACCUGGCGAGGAUGACGGUACCCAAAGAAUAAGCACCGGCUAACUUCGUGCCAGCAGCCGCUGUAAAAC
rnacentral:rRNA from 1 species